GCCCAGCCGCCGCGGUAAUACGGAGGGGGUUAGCGUUGUUCGGAAUUACUGGGCGUAAAGCGUACGUAGGCGGAUUAAUAAGUUAGAGGUGAAAUCCCAGGGCUCAACCCUGGAACUGCCUUUAAAACUGUUAGUCUUGAGAUCGAGAGAGGUGAGUGGAAUUCCAAGUGUAGAGGUGAAAUUCGUAGAUAUUUGGAGGAACACCGGUGGCGAAAGCGCUCUACUGGACCAUUACUGACACUCAGAGGCGAAAGCUAGGGUAGCAAAAGGGAUUAGAUA
rnacentral:rRNA from 1 species